rnacentral:rRNA from 1 species
UUUCAAAUGAAUUGACGGGGGCCCGCACAAGCGGUGGAGCAUGUGGUUUAAUUCGAAGCAACGCGAAGAACCUUACCAAAUCUUGACAUCCUCUGACCCCUCUAGAGAUAGAGUUUUCCCCUUCGGGGGACAGAGUGACAGGUGGUGCAUGGUUGUCGUCAGCUCGUGUCGUGAGAUGUUGGGUUAAGUCCCGCAACGAGCGCAACCCUUAAGCUUAGUUGCCAUCAUUAAGUUGGGCACUUUAAGUUGACUGCCGGUGACAAACCGGAGGAAGGUGGGGAUGACGUCAAAUCAUCAUGCCCCUUAUGAUUUGGGCUACACACGUGCUACAAUGGACAAUACAAAGGGCAGCGAAACCGCGAGGUCAAGCAAAUCCCAUAAAGUUGUUCUCAGUUCGGAUUGUAGUCUGCAACUCGACUAUAUGAAGCUGGAAUCGCUAGU